rnacentral:tRNA from 1 species
GGCUGAGUAGCUCAGUGGUAGAGCAGGGGAAUCAUAAUCCCUUGGUCGGGGGUUCAAAUCCCUCCUCAGCCACCA